AUGGAGUUGGGGCCUUGCUGCUUUAAUCAAGAUGGAUUCGAGACCUCUGGUUAUCAAAGAGGAGCCAUGCAGAACAGAAGCUUUAUAGGACCAGGGAAGGAAGAAUCUCAGAGGAAGAAAAAAGGUCAGCUGUGCAGUUCUCCUGUGCAAAAAGCAGAUCAAGGGACAAGGCAAAUCACCCAGUACUUUCCCCCUGACCCUCUAAAGAGAAGAGAAGAGGCCACACAGGAACCCUGAGAGAGUGGACGGCCAGAACAGCUCUCUCCAGGAACAUGGGCAGUAUUUUUUAAAAUUCUUCCCAAAAGAUAUAUAACUGUUCAAUAAACACAAGAAAC
rnacentral:lncRNA from 1 species